UACGUAGGGGGCAAGCGUUGUCCGGAAUCAUUGGGCGUAAAGAGCGUGUAGGCGGCCAGGUAGGUCGGUUGUGAAAACUGGAGGCUCAACCUUCAGAGGUCGACCGAAACCAUCUGGCUAGAGUCCGGGAGAGGAGAGUGGAAUUCCUGGUGUAGCGGUGAAAUGCGCAGAUAUCAGGAAGAACACCCGUGGCGAAAGCGGCUCUCUGGAACGGUACUGACGCUGAGGCACGAAGGUCAGGGGAGCAAACGGG
rnacentral:rRNA from 1 species